rnacentral:rRNA from 1 species
UACAGAGGGGGCAAGCGUUGUUCGGAAUUACUGGGCGUAAAGGGCGCGUAGGCGGCCUGCUAAGUCGAACGUGAAAUCCCCGGGCUCAACCUGGGAACUGCAUUUGUGACUGCACGGCUGGAGUGCGGCAGAGGGGGAUGGAAUUCCGCGUGUAGCAGUGAAAUGCGUAGAUAUGCGGAGGAACACCGAUGGCGAAGGCAAUCCCCUGGGCCUGCACUGACGCUCAUGCACGAAAGCGUGGGGAGCAAACAGG